AAUAAAGACGAUUUUUAAGACACUUUGCAGGUCGUCUCUGCGUUACGAGAUUCACGUUCCAAGCUCUUUAAAACUCCUCACCCAAAUACAAUUGAUCCCAAUUUAUCACGUCUCCCCCAAGGAAGUUCCAAACACGUCCGUGAAACCUAACGCCGCCGCCACUAGAUCCCUUGGGAGGCCGGUGGCGUACACCGGCGAACUCUGCGCAGCGUCUGGUGAACCCUCUUCUCCCCUCUAUGGCAUCCUCGAUCUCCCCGCCUGGUAUUGGAUCUUGUCCGUUCGGGAACGGCGAUGCGGAGACGCGAUCCGACCGGCCAGCCUCAUCUGUGCCCUCUCGCCAUCAACCCACGCCGCUCGUGCGAGCAGCCAGCCCCGCUGCCUCCCUGGUAUGUUCUUGUACAUACUAAUUUAAUCUCAGGCUGAUUCGUAGGCCGGUCUCCCUGCAGAUACGCUACAAAUCUUCAACGACGCUCGAUGAGUCCAUGGUGCGCUUGCCGGAUUCCAGGAGGGCCAGAGGAAGAUGAGUACCUCGUGUCUUUCUUGUUCAAUCAAUCCAGCUAUUAAUUCUAUGCCUCGGUUUAUUCAUAUUAGUAAUAGCUAUUUGAAUGAAUGUUAUUAUUUUGCAGUGGAAAUCACCAGGUCAAACCAUAUGGAUGCACAGUUCGGUUCUGAGAUAUUGUUUCUGAAGAUCUUUGAAAUAACAGAAAAAAUGGCUACUGAAUAAUCAGCAGAAGUGGGACGAUAGGGAGCUCCUGAACCAUUAGAAGUGAUUUUUCAUUCAGGAUGUUUGACCAAUAAAGUGUACAGUUUUUAUGUAUGUACAGUUCAAUUGUAAACUAUGGUCGCUGUCCAGAAAUAAAGUCCAAAUUUUCCAA